UUCUUGAUCUGGAAUAUUCAUUAUGUUUCACGUCAUGAUACACCGCGAUAUUUACGACACGUAUUUUCUCAAAACCAUAUUCGCUUGCUGGUCUUGAUUAAAUCCAUGUCCAAUGUGGAUUUGAUUGAUGCCAUUCAUGCCAUGCUUCACUUUGAUAGCUGUCGGUCUUGUAUUGAAGGAAAAAUAUGGAUUUUCUGGUGUGAUGAGUUUAAUAUUUUUUUUCAAGAAUUGGUAGACCAAAUGGUGUCUAUGUUGGUCUUGUCUUCGUUGGGAUAUUUCUUUUGCUUUUCUGCUAUCUAUGCAAGAUGUACUCAAGUUAGGAGAAGGAGUUUAUGGAUGGCUAUGGAAGAGGUUGCUGCUC
rnacentral:lncRNA from 1 species